UCUGGAUCAGGGUCGACAUGCU
rnacentral:misc_RNA from 1 species